rnacentral:rRNA from 1 species
AUACGUAGGUGGAAAGCGUUGUCAGGAAUUAUUGGGCGUACAGCGUGCGCAGGCGGUCCUUUAAGUCUGAUGUGAAAGCAGACGGCCAAACCGUGGCGGGCCCUUGGCAACUGGGGGUCUUGAGUGCAGAAGAGGACAGAGGAAUUCCAAGGGGAGCGGGGAAAUGCUUAGAUAUCACUCAGAACACCGAUUGCAAAGGCAUCUGACGAAUCCGUCACUGACGCUGAGGCACGAAAGCGUGGGGAUAGAACAGGAUUAGAUGCCCUGGUAUUCCACGCCGUAAACGAUGAUGACUAACCGUCGGCGAUAGACAGCCGGUGGCCAAGCGAAAGCGAUAAGUCAUCCACCUGGGGAGUACGUCGGCAACGAUGAAACUCAAAUGAAUUGGCGGGG